AUCCAUUUCAUGCCUAGAUUUUUUACAUAGACUACAGUGAUUGGAUGUAGGUCCUCAUACUCACACAGCAAGCUCAGUUUCAGGAGAAACUGAACUGUUCCUCCAGCUCUUCUGACCUGGGGACUUUUGAGUGCUCCCUCGUAGCCACAGUCUGGGUCUGUGGGUACUGGGGAGGCUCCUGUCGUUUUUAAAUAGUGGACACUUCUUCUUUUAAGGAGGGCAGACAACAUUUAUAAUCACGUGUGGGUCACCUGUUGGCUUCAGUUGCUGGGAUACAGUACGAGCCAGGCUGUCUCCUUGGGCUCCUGCUGAAGAGCAGGCACAUACUUCCACCCUGUCUCGGAGUUUCACUAAUGAGGAAAGUCUUUGCGCCGUCUCCAAACUGGUCCUGUGCAGAUAUGAACUUCAGCGUGGGUUCCGUGAAGACACGCCUGUGGGCAUAUCUUCCAAGGCAUUAAGAAUGAAGUCUCACAGAGUAGUCCCAAGUCACCAAUGAGUGUGGCCUACCAGAGCCCAAGGACAGCGCAUAGGUGUAAGCUAGCUGGGCAGCCAGGACGAAAAGCAGGCCGGCUCGUUCCUGUUACAGACGCAGCUGCUUCUAGGGGCACCCAUACGGCAGUAAAGUCACAUAACCUACUUAAAGUCAUGGAAACCUAACCUAAAGUGACAUAACCUACCUCUCAAGCAGAGAUGAGCAGGACAAGUUGAGCUGGGAGAAUCAGCUGCACAACCCCUGGGAUGAAUGAUAAGACGUGCAACUGAGGUCGAUCCCGUGAGGGUGAAGCAUUCACAGGUGAGAGCAGUCCCAACAGAGCUCCAUUUUCCCCUGUGGAUGGUGUGCAAUGACAGUUGCAUGCUCCCUGCAAUAGCUGAUAGGAUAUGCAGCUAACACAGCAUUCAAGAACAAAGCUUCCUUAGAUGAAAUCCCAGGGUCUCUAGCUUCCUCUGUGUUAUAGUUACAAAUAUUCUCCACCCUGCAGGUCCUUCUGGGCCGAGUUUUUCCCACUCGCCUGUUCCCGAAGCCACUUAUAAAAUAACCACUCUGAGGUUUAAUACUAAUUAAGUACUCUUUGGCCUAUUGGCUUGGGUUUCUUAUUAACUAUCUAUUACAUCAUAAAUUAACCCGGUUUUUAUUAUUGUAUAUUUUACCAUGAGGCUUGUGGUUUGUUACCUCACAUCUUGCUUCUUGGGCAGCUGCCUCUUUGGCAUCUUGGGCGGCUUGCUUCUUUGGCAUCUGCUUGACUCUGUCUUCUUUCUCCCUGCAUUCAGUUUUGUUUUUCAAUCUAGCUAUAGUCUGCGCUGCCCUGAAUAAAACAUAUUCACAGAACACAGAGGGGACUCUCACAUCACUAUGUAGCAUAGGGUGGUGUGCCUCCUUUAUGAAUGGAGUUGACCUAAUAGUAUGGGGACAUUCUGGAAAGGCUGACGGACUAGAGGACACAUUAGUCCCUGACAGUAGCACAUACAGGAUGGGAUUGUAAGACGGCUGUGGCAGAUGUUGUGUGGCCUUUGUGGUGGGCAUUGAGACAAGGGAUGGGAUCUCCAUACCCACACACUUAGCUCCAGCCCAUGCUUUGUUCUUGAGCCAUCUUUGCCUGAUAAGUUGCCCUCCCCUCUUCCAUCAACCCUGCGUCCAUGUCCACACUCACUGAUCUGUGUUCUGUCAAAAGACACAGAUUUUGUCUUUAAUGGAUUAAGAAACGAGGUCCACCUUUCUGUUGUCUACAAGAAACCACCAUAGCUUUAGGCACCUCCUCCUGGAGACCAGUUUUCAUAGCUCCUAAAGGUGCUAUGCAAGAUGCUAGAGGGGUAGCAAUCAGCAGUCCUUGCCAGCCUGUGAGUCACCACCGUGAUCAGCCCUGCAAGAUACUACUGAAGGUCAACAGUGACACCCAUGUCUUGGUGGCAACCAACAGCUGCCUAAUUGGACUUGGGCUCACUCGACAUGCCUGGUUCUGAACACUGAGCCAAACACCUGGGGCUAGUGACGUCAUGGAUUUUAAAGGAGAACCUACUACCGUCACCUUAUCAAAGCAGUGCAAGUCCUAGCUGCAUCCACAGAAGCGGCUCUUUUCAGCAGAUGGAGGUUGUCACGACUGGUGUCAUUUUAAAACUUUUUCCAUGAAUGCUUGCUGGAUUUUGUGAAGGGCCUUUUCUUCAUCUAUUGAAAUUAUCAUGUGAUUUUUGUCUUUAAGUCCACUUGUGUGGUUUAUUAUAUUUAUUGACUUGUGUACCUCAAACCGUCCCGGCAUCUCGGGAAUAAAGUCAACUUGGUCAUAAUGGAUAAUCUUUUCGAUACAAAAGCAUAUUUGGUUUGCAAAUAUUUUAUUGAGGGUUUUUUGAAUCAUUGUUUACAAGAAAUAUCAGCCUGCAGUUUUAAUUUUGUUGUUGUUUCUUUAACUGGUUUGGGUAUUACAGUGAAACUGCCUUCAUAGAGUUUGGAAGUGAUCCUUCUGUUUCUUUUUGUUCUCUCUCUCUCUCUCUCUCUCUCUCUCUCUCUCUCUCUCUCUCUUCCUCCUUUUUUUCUUCUCUUUGGAGUAAUUUGAGAAGGAUUGGUGGCAAAUGUUUGGGAGUCUGGUAGAAUUCCACUGUGAAUCUAUUUGAGACUAGGCUGCUGGAGGUGGAAGGCUCUUAUUACUGCUUCAGUUUCUGUAUUGUUAUGGUCUGACUAGGUUGUUAAUCUCUUCUAAGUCUAACUUUGUUUGAAUAAAUUGAGGAACUCAUCUAUCUUAGAGUUUCUAGCUUA